AUUGAACGCUGGCGGCAGGCCUAACACAUGCAAGUCGAGCGGAGCGGCGGACGGGUGAGUAAUACCUCGGAAUCUGCCUGGUAGUGGGGGAUAACGUUGGGAAACGGACGCUAAUACCGCAUACUAUCAGAUGAGCCUAGGUCGGAUUAGCUAGUGGGUGAGGUAAUGGCUCACCAAGGCUACGAUCCGUAACUGGUCUGAGAGGAUGAUCAGUCACCAGGGAACUGAGAGAGGGGCCAGAGGCCUAUGGGAGGCAGCAGUGGGGAAUAUUGCACAGUGGGCGGAAGCCUGAUGUAGCGACGCCGCGUGGGUGAUGAAGGUCUUCGGGUUGUAAACUCCUUUCGACAAGGACGCGGUACCUGUAUAAGAAGCACCGGCUAACUACGUGCCAGCAGCCGCGGUAAUAC
rnacentral:rRNA from 1 species